rnacentral:rRNA from 1 species
CAGCCGCCGCGGUAAUACGGAGGAUUCAAGCGUUAUCCGGAAUCAUUGGGUUUAAAGGGUCCGUAGGCGGUCUUGUAAGUCAGUGGUGAAAGCCCAUCGCUCAACGGUGGAACGGCCAUUGAUACUGCAGAACUUGAAUUAUUGGGAAGUAACUAGAAUAUGUAGUGUAGCGGUGAAAUGCUUAGAGAUUACAUGGAAUACCAAUUGCGAAGGCAGGUUACUACCAAUUGAUUGACGCUGAUGGACGAAAGCGUGGGUAGCGAACAGGAUUAGAUACCCCAGUAGUCCCUGUCUCUUAUAC